GAGCGUGUAGCUCAGUUGGUAGAGCAACGGACUUUUAAUCCGUCGGUCCAGGGUUCGAGUCCCUGCGCGCUCACCA
rnacentral:tRNA from 1 species